rnacentral:lncRNA from 1 species
AGUCUUGAGGCAAGUUGACUAUGAUUAUAGCAGACUAGUUGUUGUUAUUGUUGAUAUAAGUUCUAUUACAUUGGAUGGACUAUUAAUCAAGAUGAUGUAGAAAGUAAGAGGUUUGCUAUCAGAUUUGAAGUAAGAAUUCUUACAAAUAAACAAAGAGCAUAUCCAUAAGUGAAGAAGGAGCUUUUGGGAGCACUUAUAGCUAUGAAAACAAAUAGAAAUUGUGACCAAUGUGGUGCUAAAAAUUGAUUACUUAUCAUUAUUGGAUAUAAUUAUCAAUUAUUCUACUCUUGAUAUUGCCAUGCUAAGGUGGAUAAUCUGCAUUGGAUCACUCAAUCUUGUAUUGGUACAUAUUUUUGGCAAGAAGGACUUUGUGGUAAAUAUGCUAUUUAGAGCCAAAUAUAUUUAUGAAGAAGAAAUAGUGUAGAAUAGAUAUUCGUUCGUUUCUAUAAGAUAUUGGUAAAAUAGACUAAUAGUCCAUAGAAUAAUCAGUUCAGGAGGACGGAUGAUUGAUUUAGUUAUUAAAAGUGGUUAAUUACAGAAUUAUGGUUAAAAUCUGGGAAUCAAGAGCAGUUAUAUAGGAGUUGUAGAAGUUUGUUGGAUGCCAGACUGUGAUAGUUCAUGAACUGGGGUAAGUUUGGUACUACCUCUUUAUUUCUUUGUUUUUUUUGUUAUUGAAGAGUAAUGGAUAGUUUCUGAAUAUUGAGAAGUGAGUCUAUAGAAUAAAUCAGAGAUUGAUUUAUAAUUUAUUGAUUAUGUAAUUAGAGUACUGAGUGAUUGAAUUAUAUGAGGAGUUAUUAGAAGAUUAUGAUUGUUGUUUAUUGAGAGCUGUGUGUGUUUUGGACAAAAAAAAUUGGUGAUUACAAAAAUUUUAUGAAUUCAGAUUGGUUAGAGUGAAGUCUGUUAUUUUUGGUGUUGGAUGGAAAUUAUGUGUUUUGAGCGGUCUUUUGAGAGUGCAGGGUUGCACAUUGUUGUUAUCAGUUGAUGAAAGAUUAUUAUUAUUGGGAGAAAGCAUUGUAGUAUUUUUUAGUGUUUUAGUGGUUCGGAAUAUGGUUAAUUGUGUGAUCCUAACAACAAAACUCAUGCACUUAGUCUUUCCUUGUAUUCGAAUUUUUCUAUACAGGUUUAUUCUGAAAGAAAUUAUAGAAUAAAUAAAAUGACAAUCACAAAUAGAAACAUAAGAGAUUGGUGAAAAUGAUGAAGAUGAAGACUAUGACUAUGUAUUAGCUAUUAAUGGCAUAAGGACAAGUGAUAAAGAUGUGGCUUUUAAAGAAGAUCUUUAUGGAAAUAAGUUAAGAGACAUUGGUAUCUAUUUGAGUACCAUGAAGAAAUAAGAAGGUUAAUGAGACAAGGCCUUCAAAGACAUGAGACAACAAUCUUAUGAUUAUAUUUUGAGAGAUAAUUUCUUAUGGAAGAGGCCAAAGAUGAUAGAUGGAAUACCAUUGAAAAUAGUAGAUGAUGCAAAAAUCAAGAAUCAAGUUUUCAAAGAGUUUCAUGAUAUACUUUGGAUGGGUUAUAGAGAAGUUUGAACCACUUAUCAUAAGAUCAAAGAACAAUAUUGGUAGAAGGGCCUCUACAAAGAUGUGGAAGAAUUUAUAGC